UACGGAGGGUGCAAACGUUGCUCGGAAUCAUUGGGCGUAAAGCGCACGUAGGCGGUUCGGUAAGUCGGAUGUGAAAGCCCUCGGCUCAACCGAGGAAGUGCAUUCGAAACUGCCAGACUUGAGUAUGGAAGAGGGUCGCGGAAUUCCCGGUGUAGAGGUGAAAUUCGUGGAUAUCGGGAGGAACACCAGUGGCGAAGGCGGCGACCUGGGCCAAUACUGACGCUGAGGUGCGAAAGCGUGGGGAGCAAACAGG
rnacentral:rRNA from 1 species